GACAGAGGUGCCGAGCGUUAGGCGGAAUCACUGGGCUUAAAGCGCGUGUAGGCGGGAGGGCACGUCCGUCGUUGAAAUCCCCCGGCUCAACCGGGGAACGGGCGCGGAUACGACCUUCCUGGAGGGGCGUAGGGGGACCUGGAACUUCCGGUGGAGCGGUGAAAUGCGUUGAGAUCGGAAGGAACGCCCGUGGCGAAAGCGAGGUCCUGGACGCCUACUGACGCUGAGACGCGAAAGCCAGGGGAGCGAACGGG
rnacentral:rRNA from 1 species